rnacentral:lncRNA from 1 species
CCUCAGGUGCUUUUCUUCCCAUAGAUCUUUGAAAAAGAGAAAGAAAUCGAUCACCCUAUGCGGAAAAAGGUCUGGCCUUUUAAUUUUUCCACAUUUUCUUUGUUUUUGUUGAUUUUUCCUAUGUCUUUCUCAAUUUUUUCCUUUGCUUUUUCUAUUCAUAGGAGUCUCAAUCAGGUGGGAGGCUCGGAGUGGCCGAAUAGAAAAAUUUAAAUCUAUCUCAAUCAGGUGGGAGGUUUGGAGCAAAAGAGGUAAUUCUUUCUCUCCCUCUCAAUAAAAUUUAUUAAAAUCUAUUAUUUUUUAUUAAUUAUAUUUUACUAUUAUUUGGUAG